GAAUAUGACUCCGCCUCUCAGCUGCUUCGUAUCUGACAGAGAGUCUGAAAAGGAUGGAAAAUGUGCUUUCAUUUAGUACAUAUAGCGGCCCGUCCCGGAUUCGCCUGAGUAAAACCUGUUGUAACGUCAUGGCCAGGUCUCCUUACGACACAUGCCACGGGCAGGUCUCCAGACUCCAAGUCCUCCACUAUGCCAGUCACGGCCACUUGGUACACUCCAGGGUGCUGUUGGAUCACGUUCUCGAUUUCCACAGGAGAUACCUACGCCAGCAUUUUCAAUCGAUCUACGAAAUACAAGUAGCGAUGUUCAUCCAUGUACAAAAGAUCGCCAGUUUUGAACCAACCAUCGUCUGAAAAUGUCUCCUUUGUUCUUCCUGGAUC